rnacentral:rRNA from 1 species
CUGCUGCCUUCCGUAGGAGUCUGGGCCGUGUCUCAGUCCCAAUGUGGCCGGCCGCCCUCUCAGGCCGGCUACUGAUCGUCGCCUUGGUAGGCCGUUACCCUCCCAACAAGCUAAUCAGACGCGGGCCCAUCCCAUACCACCGGAGUUUUCUUUCCGGCGCCAUGCGGCACCGGAAACGUAUGCGGUAUUAGCAGCCGUUUCCGGCUGUUGUCCCCCGGUAUGGGGCAGGUUGCCCACGCGUUACUCACCCCGUCCGCCACUCAGUCACAGG